rnacentral:rRNA from 1 species
AUUGAACGCUGGCGGCAGGCCUAACACAUGCAAGUCGAGCGGAUGAAGGGAGCUUGCUCCUGGAUUCAGCGGCGGACGGGUGAGUAAUGCCUAGGAAUCUGCCUGGUAGUGGGGGAUAACGUCCGGAAACGGGCGCUAAUACCGCAUACGUCCUGUGGGAGAAAGUGGGGGAUCUUCGGACCUUACGCUAUCAGAUGAGCCUAGGUCGGAUUAGCUAGUUGGUGGGGUAAAGGCCUACCAAGGCGACGAUCCGUAACUGGUCUGAGAGGAUGAUCAGUCACACUGGAACUGAGACACGGUCCAGACUCCUACGGGAGGCAGCAGUGGGGAAUAUUGGACAAUGGGCGAAAGCCUGAUCCAGCCAUGCCGCGUGUGUGAAGAAGGUCUUCGGAUUGUAAAGCACUUUAAGUUGGGAGGAAGGGCAGUAAGUUAAUACCUUGCUGUUUUGACGUUACCAACAGAAUAAGCACCGGCUAACUUCGUG